UACGUAGGGUGCAAGCGUUAAUCGGAAUUACUGGGCGUAAAGCGUGCGCAGGCGGUUUUGUAAGUCUGAUGUGAAAUCCCCGGGCUCAACCUGGGAACUGCAUUGGAGACUGCAAGGCUAGAAUCUGGCAGAGGGGGGUAGAAUUCCACGUGUAGCAGUGAAAUGCGUAGAGAUGUGGAGGAACACCGAUGGCGAAGGCAGCCCCCUGGGUCAAGAUUGACGCUCAUGCACGAAAGCGUGGGGAGCAAACAGG
rnacentral:rRNA from 1 species